rnacentral:rRNA from 1 species
GUCGUAACAAGGUUUCCGUAGGUGAACCUGCGGAAGGAUCAUUACUGAAGUACCAUAACAAGUUGUCGCUGAUCCUAGAUCGUGCACGCUUGUUAUUCUUCAUUUCUCCAUUAUUUGUGCAUCACUUGUGUGGAUCUUUGUUAGGACUGCUUCGCAAAGUUGCUAUUUGUGGGGCUUUCCUUGUAUUCUUUUGAUCUACAUGUUUUUUUUUACACACACACCAAUGUUUUAGAAGGAAUGAAAAUGAAUUGUUAUACAACUUUCAGCAACGGAUCUCUUGGCUCUCGCAUCGAUGAAGAACGCAGCGAAAUGCGAUAAGUAAUGUGAAUUGCAGAAUUCAGUGAAUCAUCGAAUCUUUGAACGCAUCUUGCGCUCCUUGGUAUUCCGAGGAGCAUGCCUGUUUGAGUGUCAUUAAUAUCUCAACCACAUAUUUUGAUGUGUGGCUUGGACUUGGAGGAAACGUGCAGGCUCUGACUCUUGUAGUCUGCUCCUCUGAAAAACAUAAGCGGUACCUAUAUUGGGACUUUGGCUAGGUGUGAUACACAUCUGCAUCUAAUCGAGGUUAGCCCGUUGGUCAUGCUGCUGAUCAUUACAACUUGAUGAACUUGACCUCAAUCAGGUAGGACCACCCGCUGAACUUA